AAAAAAGAGCCCACAGUGAAUAAAAAUGUGUCGUGUUCACAUUGGUUUCACAUUUUCAUGUUUUUAUGUUGUUUCCUUUAUUGGGACUAUUGGAGCUAAGUUUAUUAAAUGUAAAUACAUUGCAUGGCUGACUCUAAAUUGUACCAUGUUCUCUCAGGAUCUUCUGGAUCUCAGGAUAUAAGGAAUGUCAUCCCAUUUAGUGGAAAAGGCUUCCUCCUUGGAGGGAACUCUCAGAACGCCACGUCUUCCUCCCCAUCUAACGAAGCACUCGUGCCUGUUGUGAGAGCACCUGUGUCCAGCCCUCUCUCCUCUCCUAAGAAUUUCUUCACCCCUCCAUCUCCUGCUAAAAGUCUCACCUCCCCUAUUCGCUCUGGCCUGGAUGACUCAACCAAUGGGAUCCCCAGCUGCUUUCCCUCAGUCAGAGCAGCUACUUCCACAGGGAAAAAGCCACCCAUAAAGGUGUCUGUCGGUAACACAAGGGUUUUUGUCAACAUUAACGGCUCACCGGUAAGAAUCCCUAAAUCCCACAGCAGUAGCAGCCAAGGAGCAGAUAAAAUCAAACAGAAGUCCAUUGACGACCUCUUCAACAGCACAAGCCUCAGGAAGCCAGUGACUCAGUCCUCCAUCUCCAACACAGAGAGUAAAAGAGACUCACUGAUGUCACCAAAGAGUACCGCAAUUACCAAUUUAACUUCUUCACCUCCUAGAUCUAAGCCUAGUCUCAAUAUUUCCAACCAUUUUAAGUCCCAAUCUGUAGCUUCCACAGGAUCCCAAAGCAGUGCUGCUAAACCCACACAGUCCAAAUAUUUCACUGAUUGUCACAGUAGCAGUACAUCAGGAGCAGCUGGUGAGAGUCAGACAUCGAGGAAGAGGCCGUGGGACAACCGCAGCAGCUCAGCCAGCAUCUUUGACUUCUUCCAGAAGACAUUAGGCAGCGAUUCAGCAGCAUCGAGGGAGUCGAUAAAGACAAAGUCACCUGCAAUGCAGCAAAGAACUGCCACCAUUACAUCCUCCUCCUCUACAUCUCUUCAGUCCGCUGCAGGACUUCACAGUGUCGCCUCCUCUUCCUCAUCCUCCUCCUCCUCUUCCUCUUCCUCUUCUUCCUCUGCACUGAUGGUCAGCUGUCCUGUGUGCCAAGCUAAAGUGCAGGAGUCAAAGAUCAACGAGCAUCUUGAUUCCUGCCUCUCCUGAAUGAGAAUGAUGAGGGGAUGUUGCAAAUAAACCAACUUCCAAACAGGAGAAGUUUCAGGGAGUUUGCUGUGAUGCAUUUUUUGGUUCAUCCUCAUGUUGCACCAAAAGUUCUUAACUGUGAGAUUUUAAAUAGUUUGGAUUUUAGGCGGAGGCCUCCCUAGUUUUACCAACAGAUUGGUUAUUUUUCAUAAUUGUUAUUUUACUGUAAUAGUGAUAGUUCUUUUUUCUACAGUGCCUGCUCAACAGCUUGUGCCUUCGUAUAUCAGAACAGAAGGGUUUUAUAGAUAAUGUAGCUGAAACUGAAUUUUACUUGGGUUAAUAAGGUCAUUCCCACCAGAUGUUAACAACAAUGAUGGUUGCUUCUACAUACAAAUCUUGAAUAUUUACAUACUGAUUAAGCAUUUCACUGCAUGGCCUAUUACACCAGCCUGAGCUGCGUUAGUAAGUUGUAUUGACAGUACUGCACUUGAAACAGUAUUUAUUUCAGAAUUGAUCAGUGUGAUGUGAAAACAGAUCAGUCAUGGUUUAAAUGAAGAAGCGGCUAUGUUGUAUGUGGGUUGAGUCUUGGCUCCUGUAAUCUGAUGUAUCCUCCAUCUCAGAUCUGCAUCUGCUGCCCUUCAGACAGCAGAAGACACCGAAUGAUCUCUGCUGAUCUGCAGGGAAUCAGAUUUCACACUUGCUAGCAAUUUAUUUCUGCACGUCGUCACAUUUACUCUGCACCCAGCUGCAAGGUCAGCCAGUGCAGGGUAUUUGAUCAUACCUUAAUACAGUGAUGUUACCAAUGUAAUUCACAAGUCAUAUCACAGUAGUAGAAUAAAGGAGAGUUUGUAUGCAUUUUUAUGGUUAUUUUCUGCUGAAAUAUUUGAGCUGUCUGUAUGUCCCUUUAUGUAUAUGUUGUCAAGGAGAUUACAGAUUCUGUUCAAGUUUGCAUUGCUAAAUAAAACAUUAAUAUUAUUCUGAAUAUUUUGUAUGGAGUGGAAUUAAUCUCUGGGUCUAACAUUCAUUAUGUCUGAUUAAAAUUCAAGCCAUAAAAUACAUGACUUAAUGUAUCACUUAAUGAAUAUGCAGGUCAAUAAAUAAAAAAUAUUUACAAAAAAUAGCAAAAUGUGACAUCAGAGUUAACAAACAUGAACAGCAGUUAAAUGGGAAAAAAAUGAAUACAGUCAAAUAGUGCAAUGCAUCUUUAGUCUGGGGCUACACUGUGGUUCGGUGAUUAGCACCGUUGCCUUGCAGCUGGAAGAUCCCCGAUUUGCGUUCUGCCCUGGGCCUGGGAUCGUUCUGUGUGGAGUUUGCAUGUUCUCUCUGUGCAUGCAUGGGUUUUCUCCAGGUUCUCCAGCUUCCUCCCACAGUCCAAAACAUGCUGAGGUUAAUUGGUAACUCUAAAUUGUAAGUGUGAAUGUGAGCAUGAUUGUUUGUCUCUAUGUGUAGCCCUGUGAUAGACUGGUGACCUGCCCAGGGUGUCUCCUGCCUUCACCCUAAGUCAGCUGAGAUAGACUCCAGCCCCCCCACGACUCUAAUGAGGAUUGAGCUAUGUAUAGAUGAUGGAUGGAUGGAUGGAUGUUUAGUCUGCAGUAAUUCCUGAUGCUGUAAUUCGAUGUAGAGGUUUUUUAGGUGAAUAUCUGUGGUGAAUUUCAUGGUUAUUCCUUCCACAGUUGUGAAGAUUAUUCUAUUACUCUGUCUCAUGUUAAGGCAUAGUAAAAAAUUAUUAUAUGGUAUGUGCAUAGGGCUGCACAGUGGCGUAGUGGUUAGCACUUUCGCCUUGCAGCAAGAAGAUCCCUGGUUCGCGUCCCGGCUUUCCUGGGAUCUUUCUGCAUGGAGUUUGCAUGUUCUCCCUGUGCAUGCGUGGGUUCUCUCCGGGUACUCCGGCUUCCUCCCACAGUCCAAAAAUAUGCUGAGGUUAAUUGAUUAUUCUAAAUUGCCUGUAGGUGUGAAUGUGAGAGUGCUUGUUUGUCUUUGUAUGUGGCCCUGCGACAGACUGGCGACCUGUCCAGGGUGUCCCCUGC
ensembl:lncRNA